rnacentral:lncRNA from 11 species
AUGGAUCAUUUGGGGGCUCCCCGGAAGCGCACGCUCUCAUUAACCGCACCCGUGCAGCCCUGCCUUGUACCCCUUGCCUCAGCCUCCCUGGACGAGUACACCCUCAUGCGGGCCACCCAACCCUGCCCUCGGGUGGCCGCUGUGCUUUAUCCUGAGGAUUAUUGCGACCUAGAGGCCUGCUCUGUGGGAAAGGAGGAAGGCUAUAUGCCCAUGGCCCCCAGGACGAUGCCCAUUUUGCCCUUGCAGGACGCUUGCCUGUCCCUGAGCCCCACUGGUGUAUCUCCGUCACAUCCGCUCAGCAGCGGGAGUUCCUCUGACGACAGUGGGUACAUGCAAAUGUGGGGUACUGGCCCAACCAAGCUAUCCAGGGAGAGUCCUGCCAGAGGAGACUAUAUCAACAUGUCCCCUUUGCUGUUCCCUUCUUUGUGUGGACCUUCUCCUGCUUCUUCUUCAGAAGGCUAUGGCACCCAGAGUCCCGGGGAACAACCUGGAUGCUUCUGUAGUGCUCCCUGGACCCCUGGUGAAAGAAAGAACAGUGACCAAUACAUGCUGAUGAGUUCUCCAGGCACUCCCUAUGCCUCCUGGGCCUCUGGUGAAAGAAAGAACAGUGACCAGUAUGUGAUGAUGAGUUCCCCAGGAGUUCCCAAAGCAGAGGGCAGCUACGCCGCUAUGCCUUUCCCCAUUCACCACAGCCGAAUGGAGCCUUUCCUCAGUCGCCAUUCUUUACGGUUGUCGCUGCCUAGCAGGGAGGAGCCACCCACCUUGAAUGAACCCCAGAGUCCCAGUGGGGAAUAUGUCAACAUUAGCUACUCCCAAGCACCACUUUGCGAUGGUCCCACCUUCCUGCUCGGCUCUAGUUUAGGUAAUCGAAGCAGACCAUGUGACUCCAGUUAUACAAACAUCAGAUCGGGUGGGUCACAGUCAAGUACCCUCUCGGUGGGGUCCCUGGAGGAAGCGCUUUUGCCAGAAGUCUCCCCUAGCCCUGAGCCCUCUGGCAAGCCUUAUGUAAAGGUUGGGGUAGAGCAGGCUUGUCUUUCCAGCCCACUUUCUGAGGCUGGUGACUACACAGAGAUGUUUUUCACAACAGCCACUGCUCCCCCCCAACCCAUCUCACAUAAGCUAGAAACGGUUCGUGUAAGCAGCCCAGUGUCUGGCCUGAAGCGGCUGACACUUUCUGGAAUGGAGACCUUUCUCUUGGCUAGCCCGCCUCCUGAUCCCAAUCACGGAGCCAAAGUCAUCCGUGCUGAUCCUCAGGGGCGCCGCAGGCACAGCUCAGAGACGUUCUCCUCCACGACCACCGUGACCCCCGUUUCUCCUUCUUUUGCACACAAACCUAAGCGACACAACUCUGCCUCUGUGGAAAAUGUGUCCCUCAGGAAAAACGAAGGCCUUGUGGAAGAGCAAAAUGGCAGCCCUAUGUGUCGGGAGACGUCUGCUGGCUUCCAGCAUGGCCUCAACCAUAUUGCUCUUGAAGGAGACCAUCUGGCCAAUGCUUAUCAAGGGAAGCACAAAGGCAAGCAUCCUCUCAAUGGGAGUAUUGAUGGUACUUACACCACUAUAGACUUUCGGAACCGCAAUUUGAAUGAAGCUUCGUCAGUAAAAGAAUGAAGAAACAAGUUUCACCAUCAUGACCUCUGAAUCCAUUUUAAAAGCUGCUCAUAGAUUUUUUCAAGAGAUUACAUCUUAAACAGCUUUAAGAUCUGCUUAUUUUUUUCUAUCUUAUGUAGCUUUCAGAACAGUUCUUUAUUGUAUUGAAGAGGAACCAAACCAUCUAGGAUGUUUUGCAAGAUUAAUCUUGUAGAGACUGUGGAUCUCUUCAUUCGGCAUAGUGAUCAUAACCAUUACCUUUUCAGUACAAAUAAACUGUGUGUGUUCUUCAGCAUGUUGAGAUGUUCUGCUUGCACCUGCUAUAGCAGUGAAGAGUGGUGUUUACUGGUGUCCUUUCAAACCUCUGCAGCACUACCUCAAUUAAGAGUAGAACUGAAUUUGCAUUGCAUUGGCUGGCCUUACUGCUGAAUGUUGAACAGUCACCAACCUAUGGGACCUUAUCAAGAAUAACAGGAUGCUGCUGGUCAGUUGCUUCCCACUUACUAGCUGCUCUGUUAAUUUAUCAAGAGAAGAUCAGGAUGAGAUAUGAAAGAUUUAAACCAAAAAGAAACUUGAACGUUUGGAUUUGUAUGAAAAUAUUUAUGACCAUUAUAUAAUAUAUAAUAGAAGCAACAGAACUUAGUAUCAUUAAACUCUAUUGGGAAGUCAUUAUUUACUUCUGACACAUUUGUGUAAUUGUCUUGAUAGGAUUUUUUUUAUGCUUCAGAUUGCAAAAACGUUUCCUGCUAUGUAUAGGGUUACACUCAUUAGCAAAUCCUAUUAGUUGAAUUUCUUAUUACCAAAAGUCACAACAGGAAAUUGACAGAUCAAAACACGGGUCCAAACCAAAAACUUCAUUUUGGACAGGAUACUACAUCAAUUCUUUUCCCUUUUAGAAAGAAUGAAAUUUCUCAUAAAAGGAACAACAUAAAAUUUGGACAUAUGUGGGUUAAAAAGGCCAGUAUUCUAGUAAAACAUAUUGAGAAGUAUGUACCUGCUCUGUAUUUUGAAGAUAAAUGUCCUGAUUGGUCUUUUUACAUUCACAUUACAGUUUGCAUUAUAUUGGACCACGUUCAUCCUCUUGUUGCUUCUAAUCUGUAUUUGAUUAGAGAGGCUUUUAAAUAAUAUUCUUUCAAGAAUACUUCUUCUGCGUUUCAUGUGACAGUAAAAACAAAAAGGAACUUGGGAAAGGCAGGUUCAGUUUCCAGGUGAGCCAUGAAGCUCACUUGUUGAUAUUGGAUCAGACUCUCUCUGUCAGCCUGGCCUGCCUCAGAGUGAACUUUAUAUAUUACUGUACUAAUCUACAAUUUUUAGUCAAAAAUCAACCCAGUUUAUCCACAAGUACUGUACUUUAACUCCUUUUUUUUAAAAGGAACCAUCCUCCUCUCUGAGAAGGGUAGCAAAAGGCACAAGAGAGAAACUCAAGAAAGCACCAACCAUAUCUACUCUUUCCACCAUAGCACUACUUUAUAUCAUUAAAUGCCUGGGUGGAAAAAUGGUGAUGGUCGCUUACACAUGAGUAUAUAUGGUAGUUAUGAGGAUGGAGUGGGACAGUUAUUCCGAUCUGAACUCUUGAGGUAAGGCAGGAUGAAUUAACAGUUCUGUGUCAUCAUAAAUGCUUUACAUUGUUAACUAAGGGAGGAAAAGGAACCAGUGCCCCAAUGUUCUGAUUAAAUGCCGUGCAAACUCAUUUUACUUCCAUGCUAAGUGUUUGGAUUGAAGAUUGUAUAACAAGACAUAUCUGAAUGUAAUCUCCACCCAUUAAAUAUUACUCUGAGGACCUGGGAGGAGAAUAUUAUAGUGAAUAUCUUGGUAAAAAUUACAGAGAUAACAAAAAAAUAAGUGACAGUCCUGUUAUGUAAAAAAAAAAACCCUUCACUUCUCUGUCUCAGUUAAUUUAUUGAUGAUGAUAUUCCCGGCCAGUGAGAGAAUUUAAUAUGGCAGUUGUUGAAAUCAAAAAAUGAUCCUUGUAAAAUAUGAGGGAAUCUAUUAGUUUCUGAUGCCACAAUAGUUAAUUAGGUAGAUAGCCUAUAAAAUAAAGGAGAUGGAAUAUCGGGGGGUUGGGGAGUAAAUUCUUUUCAGUACUAUACAUUUUGUAAGGGGCUUAUGCAAAUACAUACAUUCUUAGUUAUCAUAUUGAACCAAAAUGUAUAAUUGAUAAGUUUGCUAAAUUUUUUGCCUGAUUUUAUCUUAAAUUUUGAAUAUUUUUUGCUAUUUAAUAUUAAUGGUUAUGAGCAGAGUUUUUCUUUUAGAGAUAUAUAAUUGUUCCUAGAUAUCAAGAUACUAAAUAUAUUUCUUGCCAUUGUGAUAUGGCAAAACACUUAACUUAUCUUGCUCUGUCUUCCAAUGUAUACUAUGUAUAUAGGUGUAAUCAGUGAUGCUGCUAGGAAAGAGAAAAAUGAAACUAGACUAGCAUAUGUAUUUAGUCUCUAUUGAUCCUGACUGCUCUCUUUAAUAGCCAUAUGCAAUAAAAUGUUAUUUAUUAAAGGAACGAUGUUUUUCGGGGCCUAUGUGUUAACAUUGGGGUGGGAGGAGCUGAUCAGAGCUACCACAUCAAAUCAGAUGGUAAUUAGAUUGAGACAAAGCCUUUGGUGUGCAGGAAAAUGCAGGGGGUUCACAGCAUUAUGGGUGCAGCCUUAUGGAUUGAUGGUUGCAGCAAAUGAAGGCUACUGUGAAAUUAUCCAUUAUGGAGGGCAUGGAGACCAUUCUGUCCUCCAGUAUGUGUGCCCAUUUCCUUGUUCCAGGAUGAAGCCAACACUGAAAAUAGGGACUUGUAUAGGAUAUUUCAAAAGGUAGACCAAGGAAGCACUUGUAUAGAACCAGUUACAGCAAGGUCAGGCCCGCCUCACAACUGCCCCAGCUAGAGAGAAAGGGAAAUGAAAACUCCACUAGUUAACAAAGGAAAGCAUGUAGUCUCACCCCUUAUGACCUGGAAUGUUUAAAUGUUAAGUUUAGGCGUUCAACACUUCCUUUCUUCCUUAUUCAGACAAACUAACUCUUUAAAACCCAUUCCAGGCUAGGCCAGGAAAGUUCUGUGACUUGUGCAGGUACGAUGACAAUCACCUUUGGUGACAAGUGGCAUAUCUACUACAGCCUGUUCUUUGUAGAGGCUUUUUUGUUUAUCAAAAUAUUCUUUAUAAUACAGCUAUCAAUAAAUUUUACUAAUGGAAAAAC